rnacentral:SRP_RNA from 2 species
GCUGGGUGUGGUGGCACACACCUGUAGUCCCAGCUACUCGGGAGGCUGAGGCAGGAGAAUUGCUUGAACCCAGGAGGCGGAGGUUGCAGUGAGCCAAGAUUGCACCACUGCACUCCAGCCUGGGUGACAUAGCAAGACUCUGUCUCAA